CUUCAGCGAGCCGAGCAGCAGCGGGUGCGCGUCACCGCGGUCCUGCCCGUACGUGUUGAGGAGGGCCUGCGCCUC
rfam:Streptomyces sp. PVA 94-07 chromosome, whole genome shotgun sequence.